CCAAGACCCAAAACUGUGAGGAAGCAGGUUUUUUAAAGGACAGUUUCAGAACAGACUGGGAUUUCUCUGAAAGCCAAAGGCCAGGAAAAAAGGAUUAAAUCACCAUGUUACAAAGCCAUGAUAUCUAGGUUGGAGGUCUGCAUGGAUUGAAAGGGGAUGCAUUCCCCCCUUCGAAGCAGGAAGCUAGUUAUCCUGGCCCAGCACCAAUGUUCUUGCUUCUGCUGGAG
rnacentral:lncRNA from 1 species